AGAUGAGGUAGAGGUCGCGGAUAUAAAGAGUACGCGUGUGGAGACGUUAGAGCCGUCUAUGAAUCACGCCGAAAGGAAUAUCCGCCGAAGCUUGCGCUGUAGCUCUUACAGCGGUGCAGGCUGGGGCCGUUGCCGAAAGGCACGGAACUGUCACAUUGUACAGCCUGCGUAAGUAGCAGACUGCAGUGUGUUGCGCUAUCUUCACA
rnacentral:ncRNA from 2 species